AAAUUUUAGUUUAAAAUUAAAAUUUAAUAUUUACAAUAUUAAGAUAUAAAUUAUAUAAAUUUUAUUUCAAACUAAUUUAUAUACAUUUUAAUUAAAAUUUAUAAUAAUAAAAAUUAUUUAAAAAUUAAAAGUUCAAUUUUAACUUCAAAAAAUUAAUUUAUUUUAAAAUUUUAAAAUUUAUUAUUAAAAAUAAUUAAGUAAAAUUUAUUAUUUUUACCUUUUGUAUCAGGGUAAAUUAAAAAAUUUAAUUUAAAUAUUAAUUUCUCGAAAUAAAAAAAUCUAAAUUAUUAAAUUAGUUAAUGUUUAAUUAUUAUUAAAAAUAUUAAUUUAGAAACGAUAUAUUAAACAAUUUUUAUGAUAUCUAGUUUUUUAAUAAAAAAAUUCAAUUUAAAUAUAAAUUAAUUAAAUUUAUUUAUUAAUUAAUAAAUUUAAUAUUUAUAUCAAAAAUUUAAGGGAUAAACUUUAAAUUUAUAUUAAAAUUUAACAAUAAAUCUAAAUAUUUAAUUAUAUAAAAUUUAAAAUUUUUAUUAUUAAAAAAUAUAUUAAUAAUUUAAUAAUUAAUUCAAUAUAAAAAUUUAAUUUAAAUUUAAAAAAUUAUUAAAAUAUUAUAAACAAUCUAUAUUUAUAAAAAAUAAUGAUUUAAUUAGUAAAUUUUAAAAAUUUAAAAAUAAUUAAUUUAAAUUUUAAAUUUAAAUUAAAAAAUUAGGCAAAUAAUAUAUUCACCUGUUUAACAAAAACAUGUCUUAUUGAUUAAUAAUUUUAAGUCUAAUCUGCCCAAUGAUAAUAAAUUAAAUGGCUGCAGUAUAAAUAACUGUACAAAGGUAGCAUAAUAAUUAGUUUUUUAAUUAGAAACUAGAAUGAAAGAUUAAAUGAAAUAUAAACUGUUUCAAUUAAAUUAAUUUAACUUAUUAUUUAAGUAAAAAAACUUAAAUAAAAAUAAAAGACGAUAAGACCCUAUAGAAUUUUAUUAUUAUAUUAAUAUUAUUUAAAUAAAUUAUUCAAAUUAAUUAAUAUAAUAAUUUAAUUGGGGUAAUUUAAAAAUUUAAAAAAUUUUUUUUAAAAAAAACAUUAAUUAAUGAAAAAUAAAUCCUAAUAUUUAGAUUAAUAAAAUAAAUUACCUUAGGGAUAACAGCAUAAUUUUUUUUGAAAGUUCUUAUUAAUAAAAAAGAUUAUGACCUCGAUGUUGAAUUAAGAUAUAAUUAAAAUGAAAAAAUUUUAAAAUUUAAGUCUGUUCGACUUUUAAAAUCUUACAUGAUUUGAGUUAAGAUCGGUGUAAGCCAGAUCAGAUUCUAUCUUUAUUAUAAAAUAAUAUAAUUGUACGAAAGGAACUUAUAUUUAAAAUAAUUUUUAAUUAAUUAAUAAAAAUAAUUUAUAA
rnacentral:rRNA from 1 species